rnacentral:rRNA from 1 species
AGUGAACGCUGGCGGCAGGCCUAAUACAUGCAAGUCGAACGGCAGCACAGCAGAGCUUGCUCUGUGGGUGGCGAGUGGCGGACGGGUGAGGAAUACAUGGGAAUCUGCCCAGUCGUGGGGGAUAACGUAGGGAAACUUACGCUAAUACCGCAUGCGCCCUUCGGGGGAAAGCCGGGGACCUUCGGGCCUGGCGCGAUUGGAUGAGCCCAUGUCGGAUUAGCUAGUUGGCGGGGUAAUGGCCCACCAAGGCGACGAUCCGUAGCUGGUCUGAGAGGGAUGAUCAGCCACACUGGAACUGAGACACGGUCCAGACUCCUACGGGAGGCAGCAGUAGGGAAUAUUGGACAAUGGGCGCAAGCCUGAUCCAGCCAUGCCGCGUGAGUGAAGAAGGCCCUCGGGUUGUAAAGCUCUUUUGUCCGGAAAGAAAAGCGCCGGGUUAAUACCCUGGUGUCCUGACGGUACCGGAAGAAUAAGCACCGGCUAACUUCGUG